rnacentral:rRNA from 1 species
UGGGGAAUAUUGGGCAAUGGGCGCAAGCCUGACCCAGCAACGCCGCGUGAAGGAAGAAGGCUUUCGGGUUGUAAACUUCUUUUGUCAGGGACGAAAAAAAUGACGGUACCUGCAGAAUAAGCUCCGGCUAACUACGUGCCAGCAGCCGCGGUAAUACGUAGGGAGCAAGCGUUAUCCGGAUUUACUGGGCGUAAAGGGCGCGUAGGCGGGAAUGCAAGUCAGAGGUGAAAUCUGGGGGCUCAACCCUCAAACUGCAUUUGAAACUGUAUGUCUUGAGUGAUGGAGAGGCAAGUGGAAUUCCUAGUGUAGCGGUGAAAUGCGUAGAUAUUAGGAGGAACACCAGUGGCGAAGGCGACUUGCUGGACAUUAACUGACGCUGAGGCGCGAAAGCGUGGGGAGCAAACA